rnacentral:rRNA from 1 species
GCUUAAGCCCUAAACAUAGGCAGUACCAACACAAUAUUGCCCGCCAGAGAACUACAAGCGAAAAACUUAAAACUCUAAGGACUUGGCGGUGCCCCACACCAGCCUAGAGGAGCCUGUCCUAUAAUCGAUACCCCACGUUAAACCUUACCCCCCCUUGAAAACCAGCCUAUAUACCGCCGUCGUCAGCUUGCCUUGUGAAAGAAACAAAGCAGGCAAAACAGCCAACAACUAACACGUCAGGUCAAGGUGUAGCUAAUGGGGCGGGCAGAGAUGGGCUACAUUUUCUAUAAAGAAAAAACGAAUGGCCGCCUGAAAUGGCGACCUGAAGGCGGAUUUAGCAGUAAGGCGCGCGAGAUAUCGCGCCUUAAACCCGCUCUGGGGCGCGCACACACCGCCCGUCA